UUUAGCAAGUAAAUAAUUAGCGAAAAGGCUUAUAGAAUUAAGUUAGUAGGUUUGUAUCAAAACAUUCACUUUUUGGCUAACCAGAACAUCUUUCUUUUUCAAAGCUACUUAUAAACUAUGUUAGUUUUAAUCUACGUUAGUCGACAGUUUAUAAAAUUACUCACCCGAGGACCGGAUUGCUAAUCCGUGAAGAAAUUGCCCUUCUUCGGUCUUGGGUACAUUCCCAUACCGUCUUGUGGUUUGUUUACCACGGGAACAAAUCGUCGAAUCAUUCGGACUUCGUUUUAAAUUUUCGUCUUAGGACCUAAAACACAUCGAUAAGAAUUAGGAUUUGCUAGCGAAAAGUAAAAACAUGUUAAUUAGAACGAAUACUUAUCUGUUUUCCGUCCCGGCGAAUUCGGUCCUAAGUCGUUCCGCGGUGACAACCCUGGCGGUUGAUUAGUAGAGGCACUGUUGAUAUUUGGAAGCGGUGCUUCGAAGUCGACGGUGUCACGAAACCGUAUUUCGGAUCGGGUACAUUUCGUGGAGACGUUCCGUAGUGAUAGCUCUGGCUGUAUAGAGGCACUAUUGUCGGCGGAAAUGGUGCUUCGGAGUAAACGAUGUCACUAACUCCUACUACGAAUCAGGUGAUACUGAUUAGCAGCCAGUUACGAGUACGUAAAUAAUCGUAAGGUUAACACAUCUGCGUGUAACACACUCGCGCCCGGAGGAAGAACAUUCUUCGUUAUCGAUGGCAGACGCAUCGUCGCGUUUUCGUAGCAACCGCGUGUAAUUUUUUGUUUUUUUUUCCAUUUAGUUUUUCCCGACGGAGGUCGGUUGUCGAAGGAAUCCCACGAUGAAUAUGCUGAAAAUAAAGAAAAGGCUAUUAAAAACUAGAGAUAAAGUAAUAAUUACCGAAUACUCCCCCGGUUUAUAGCUAUUUGUUAGGUCCCACGAUGUCCUCCAGCAGCUUUUCCGACACUUUUUUCUCGAAUAUCAACAGGAAACUCAUUCACUCUUUUUUCUACUGUUGUUGUUUUUUUACUUUAAACGUCAACAGUUAGUGCGAUGUUUUUUUGCAGACGUCAUCCGCGAGAUGACAGUGCGAUGUUUUCGCGCAUGACAGUUGACGUGAUGACACGUCAAUGACUUGCAAGCAAGUUGAUGAUGCUGUCAGUAUUGAUUGCAUGAGAAUAGAGUUGCGCGCUAUUUUUUUGGAUUCUACACUGGUCGAAAAAAAGGUUUUUCGAUGUGGAGUUCAAAGUUUAGUUUUUUGGUGAUUAUUUAGUUGCAGGGUCAGACAGAAGUUCUGAUGAAAUUAGAUAAUCUAUUUUCGUUUAGUACUGGCUGUAGAGGUGUCAAACAAGUUUUGAUAAUACAGUCAGUCAGGUUAUUUGCUCAAUCAGCGGUCGUGACGGACAGGUUCCGUUGAGUUGAUUGUGCGUUUUCGUUCAAUUAGCGUGCACUUUAUUCAAAACAAUCAAAGGAAAACUUGAGUUUAGUAUUGAUCCAACUGCAGGAGGGAAUUCUUUUAUAACGGUGCGUGACCAGCAUGUGGGUUAUGAAAAUUUGAUCAGUUCUCUGAUCAAAUUUUCAUAAAAUACGGUGGUGUGAUGUAACGUUUUACGUUUUUUACCGUUUUGAAUUACGUAAAUAUUCGAAGCUUCAGACGUUUUUAUUUUUUUAAGCAAAAUCAAGUGUAAAUAAAUUUAUGAAGUAAACUUUUUUAUUGUUAUUGAGUUUAAUGGUUUUUACGUGUCGUCUGUUUUAGUUGAAUUUAAUAUUUGUAGCUUUUGACGUUUUUUUCUUUUUAAGUAAAAUAAUGUUCAAAUUCAAAUUAAAUUCGAUACGUGUCAACGAGAAAGCAAUUCGUCGACAUGGUUUGUGUCUCGACUAAAUGUUGUGAUGUUUGAGUACUAUGACGACAGGCAUAUUCAAUAUGGCAACGAUACUUUGUAAUGUUCUAUGUAGUAAAGUUAGCUCGAUGUCUCCGAAGGCGCGAACUCUAUGUCGCCAUUUGAAAUUUAAAUUGGCGCAAUGGCUAAAUAAUGAGUUAAUUGUUGUAGAAGGUUUCUUGUUCAAGAACAAACUCAAACUCGGUCAUUUCGCUUCCAUAACGGCUGGCAUUUAGAAGUUUUGCGAGUUUUAAGAAUUUGUAUUACAGAGUUUGAGUAAAGUUCAGUUUGUCGAGAUUUAAUUCUGUUGUCGGUGUAGCCGACUUUCGCAAAUUUCUAUUUUAAAAGUGUAGUGUACUAAAAAAAGCGCGUGGCGCUUUUUUUGGUACGGGCUGGAAUUUUCGAGGUCGACCCGGAGUCGGCGAAAAGGGUUUACGGCAUUUCCGCCGUUUGAUCGUUGAAGGAGUUUUUUGUGGAGUCCGUGCGCUCAUCAAGGCCCGCCCUUCGGGGUAGCGAAACGAAGUGUGGUGAAGUUUCGUAAGAAUAGUGAAGCGAAAAGUGAACCGUCGAUCGCCAAUUAAUCGACGGUGGUCCGAACCCUACGGACCGUUCAGAGAGCUCGGCGCGUGGAAUACGUCGCCAAUUGCGUACCACGGUGCCGGAUUGGAACCGAAGGCAGGGGUUCAUUUCAUCACGGGCGGUCAUAGCCGUAAAAAGCGAAGCCGUGCGGAGGUACGUUGGCCCUUGUCCGGAGGGGAAGAUCAACCCGGGAAGCGCGACAUCCGUCGACGCAGCUCUCUCGAGAAAAUCGGAGGCCUUCCGUCCAGCCGCCACCCACUUCGCAACUUUAAUUCGGCCAUACUAGCACGGGCUCAUCAGCUGCGCGCCAUCCUGCAGCUAGGCGAUUCUUCUGUCGCCGCCAUCGUCAAGGACAGCAUCGCCGCCAUCGCCACGAACAGGUUCGACGCCAUCGUUCCGAACCGGUUCGCCGCCAUCGCGCCGGCGAAACCCAGCAAGUCGACGAAGAAGAAAACCUGCGCAGGUAUGUGACUAGUGUGUAGACAUGGCCAUGAUCUAGAUAAACGUUUCCAUUUCCGUACCA